UCGAUCGCGAUUCCGCGGCGGAGAUACGGAGGUAAAGUGACGAUGGAGAGAAUAUCGUUUCGGUCGUCAUUUGUUCUCUGUUGACGAUACGAUUGUUGCUCUUCUACAU
rnacentral:snoRNA from 1 species